rnacentral:lncRNA from 1 species
GGAAUUCUUAAGUUCUAGUUUUCAGCAGUUCCUUAAUCAAGAGGGCAUUGUUCAUCAAUUAAGCUGCCCUCACACUCCCGAGCAGAAUGGUGCUGCAGAGCGAAAACACAGGCACAUAGUUGAAUUGGCUAGAACUUUGUUAGCUGCUUCUAAAGUUCCUUUUCAGUUUUGGGUUGAUGCCUUUCUCACUGCCCUUUACCUCAUCAACCGCCUACCUUUUACCUCAUCUCGCCUCUCUCCUUUUGAACUCCUAUUUCACUCCAAACCCAAUUAUCGUUCCCUUAAAAUUUUUGGUUGCCAAUGUUUUCCUUGGUUACAACCCUACAGUCCCUCCAAAUUACAUCCCAAGAGUUUAUCUUGUGUGUUUCUGGGAUAUAGUCUUACUCAUUCUGGGUAUCGUUGUCUUGAUCCUGUUACAAAUCGCCUUUAUGUAUCUAGACAUGUUACUUUUCAUGAAUCUAUUUUCCCUUUUCAUGCUACUGUUUCUUCUUCCUCUUAUGAUUCCAUUUCUUCACAUUUUCCUGUCAUUCCUCUCACUUUUCCUGUGGUCACUUCUUCUCCUUCCCAGUCUCCUUUAUCAUCCUUAUCCUCCUCCCCUCUUCCCUUUUUUGUGCCAUCUGUUUCUCCCCCUUCUCCAUCUUCAUUAUCUGUUCCUUCUUCUUCUAUCCCUGUUCAAAACACUCAUCCUAUGCUCACUCGUUCCAAAGAUGGUAUUUUUAAACCUAAAGCUCUUACGGCCACUAAGCAUCCCUUGCCUUCUUCUUUACAUUCUACUGCUCUUCUUCCUCCCACUCCCACUACCUAUCAACAGGCUGCUAAACAUUCAGUGUGGGUUGAGGCCAUGAAGAGUGAACUUGCUGCUUUGGAACAAACCAAAACCUGGACUCUAGUCCCUCCAACUCCAGAUCAGAAUUUAGUUGGUUCUAAGUGGGUUUUUCGAACUAAGUUUAAACCUGAUGGUACUGUUGACAAAUUCAAGGCUCGUUUGGUUGCUAAGGGGUAUCAUCAGCGGGAAGGCUUGGAUUUUCAUGAAACUUUCAGCCCUGUGGCUAAACCUACUACGAUCAGACUUCUUCUUUCUUUGGCCGUCCAGUAUGAUUGGUUCUUAAAUCAAUUGGAUGUGAGUAACGCUUUCCUUCAUGGUUUUUUGAAGGAAAAUGUUUUUAUGUCUCAGCCACCUGGUUUUGCCGAUCCUACCAGGCCUCAUUUUGUUUGUCAGCUCCAUAGAUCCUUGUAUGGCUUAAAACAGGCUCCUAGGGCAUGGUAUGAUGAAUUGUUCAAAGCCUUGGUUUCUCUGGGGUUUCGAUCAUCUCAGGCUGAUUCUUCUCUUUUCAUUAAGUCAAGUGGUGCUUCUCUUGUUCUUGUCUUGGUCUAUGUUGAUGAUAUUUAGGUCACUGGAAACUGCAACACAGAUUGUACCUCUCUUAUUUCUCAUCUCCGUGCAAAAUUCCCAGUUAAGGAUCUUGGUCCCUUACACUAUUUACUUGGCUUGGAGGUCACACGAUCUGCCCAAGGUAUGUUUCUUUCUCAAACGAAAUAUGUCUGUGAUCUUCUCAAGAGGACAGAUUUUCUUGGGGCUAGUUCUUGUUCAACUCCCCUUGGUUCUUACAAGUUGGAUAAUUCUGGGGAUAUUCUUGAAGAUGUCACUUUCUAUCGCUCUACUGUGGGUGCCCUUCAAUAUCUUACAUGGACUAGACCAGACCUAUCCUAUGCUGUUAAUCUUGUUUGUCAGCACUUGCAUCAGCCUCGUUCUAAUCACUUGGGUGCUGUUAA